rnacentral:rRNA from 1 species
UACGUAGGGUGCGAGCGUUGUCCGGAAUUAUUGGGCGUAAAGAGCUCGUAGGCGGCUCAGUAAGUCAGGUGUGAAAACUCCAGGCUCAACCUGGAGACGCCAUCUGAUACUGCUGUGGCUAGAGUCCGGUAGGGGAGCAUGGAAUUCCUGGUGUAGCGGUGAAAUGCGCAGAUAUCAGGAGGAACACCGAUGGCGAAGGCAGAUCUCUGGGCCGUAACUGACGCUGAGGAGCGAAAGCAUGGGGAGCGAACAGG